rnacentral:rRNA from 1 species
AACGAACGCUCGCGGCAGGCCUAACACAUGCAAGUCGAACGGUCUCUUCGGAGGCAGUGGCAGACGGGUGAGUAACGCGUGGGAAUUUACCGAUUGGUACGGAACAACCCAGAGAAAUUUGAGCUAAUACCGUAUGUGCCCCUUCGGGGGGAAAGAUUUAUCGCCAAUCGAUGAGCCCGCGUUGGAUUAGCUAGAUGGUGGGGUAAAAGCCUACCAUGGCGACGAUCCAUAGCUGGUCUGAGAGGAUGAUCAGCCACACUGGGACUGAGACACGGCCCAG